AUUGAACGCUGGCGGCAUGCCUUACACAUGCAAGUCGAACGGCAGCGGACCUUCGGGUGCCGGCGAGUGGCGAACGGGUGAGUAAUAUAUCGGAACGUACCUUUCAGUGGGGGAUAACGUAGCGAAAGUUACGCUAAUACCGCAUAUUCUGUGAGCAGGAAAGCAGGGGAUCGCAAGACCUUGCGCUGAUUGAGCGGCCGAUAUCAGAUUAGCUAGUUGGUGAGGUAAAGGCUCACCAAGGCGACGAUCUGUAGCGGGUCUGAGAGGAUGAUCCGCCACACUGGAACUGAGACACGGUCCAGACUCCUACGGGAGGCAGCAGUGGGGAAUAUUGGACAAUGGGCGAAAGCCUGAUCCAGCAAUGCCGCGUGUGUGAAGAAGGCCUGAGGGUUGUAAAGCACUUUCUAAUCGUGAAGAAAAGUUAGCAGGCUAAUACCCUCGUGACCUUGACGUUAACGAUACAAGAAGCACCGGCUAACUCCGU
rnacentral:rRNA from 1 species